AGAAAUGGGGACCCGGGGCUAAGGAGGAAGGAGGCCAGUUUUCACGGCCCGGUCCUCCGGCUUCUCUCCUUUGAACAGGCGCUGGGGACCUCCGCGGCGGCCACAGCUGGACGCGCGCCGCGAAAGGCGCGGCGGUCCCGCGGGCGCCCGGCGUGGGCUAGAGAGGCCGGCCCUGGCCUGGCUCAGGUCGCCCUCGCCCCGCUUUCAUCUUGCCCCAGUCGCCCUUUACAAUUCCCACACCGAAGGCAAAGCAAGCAAGGAAAGAAGCCGGCGCCUCCCCAAGCGGACCCUCCCUUCCGCGCAGCCUCGGCCACUCUUCCAGAGCGCCCCGGUGCGUACUGCGGCGGGCGCAGGGAAUCGAAUUAAACGUCUCUGGGCGGUUAUUGUCUUUCUCUAAUUGCUCCAACAAUGGCCUCUAUUAAAAUGGAGACACCCAAUUAAAGGCCCCGCCGGGCCGCUCUCGGCUGCCGGCAAAGCUCUGGCCCCCGGCCUGCGACGUGCAGACCGCGGGGCCGCGGACCCGGCUGGUGCGGGGUACUGGCGCCGGCCUCGACACCUUUGGCCUCCACUUCCUCCCCAGACUCACAGCGACAGCGGCCGCUUCACACCGUUUUUAUUGACCGAUCGCAGCCCAGCAAGAUUGAUCGAGCUGGAAUGGGAAGGGACUUCUCCUCCCCCAGGCCCAGCUCGCCAGGGCCUCGGGCCGUGCUGCAGUUUCUGGCCUUUGGUGUCGCUCCCCGCCCCCCAGCCCCGCAGAUUCCCGGCUUCUUUUCUGUCUGCGCGGCCGGGACCGCCCAGGCAGGCGCCGGGGCUCCGGGGCUCCGGGGGGAGGGACUCGGCGGCUCGGCUCGGCUCCGCUUCUUUCUUCUGCCUGCAAAUAUUUGCUGCCUCGCUGGAAAUCCGACGAUUUCGCGCGCGCUCUGCUUGCAAAGUCUUUAAGUAAACACGCUCAAAUGACCGCCCCGGGCGGCCCGAGGCACGCUCUCUCCCCCUCCGCGGGAUUAGUAACUUUAGGACUUCGACCCCGGGGCUCCGCUUUGCCUGUUACCCAGGUCGGGCAGCGCGCGGGCGCCCGGGGCCGCUUCUCCCGGCACCUCGGCCCCGCGGAGCUCGCCUGGAAGCGCCGGUUGCCUGGCUCUGGUGGGUGGCCCGGCCGCGAGCAUCUCCGCGCCCUGGGUCUGUAGCCCUAGGGCUGAGCCCCAGAAAGCCGCGCCUCCGCUCUGCGCCAUGGCCUCUGCUUUCUGUACCCGACUGGGUUUCCCCACUUCCACUGGGACAGGGUCUCUUCGCCCCUGGGAGGGCGGGUGGGAGGGACUUGCACGUGGGCAUGUGUUUGGGGGUGUGUGUGGUAGCUUAACCCCUACCGAGUGGAGAAAGUCCGGCUCCAUUUCUCACCUUUUUCCCAAGAGGACACACAUACCCCGCUCAACUUGACGCCUAAAGCAGCCGCUUCCAGGCCUGGGGUUUCGGAUAGGCCAAGCCGGCUGCUGCCGACCCGCACGCCGCCCCGGGCCCCGGCUCCUCUCUAGGCGGUGGCCGCGCCGUCGCCUGCUCGGCUGCGGGAUGCUUGCUCCCAAGGUCCCAGGCGUCCAGGUUGAUCGCCAGCCCCUUACCCUGGUGAGGGAGGCCUUGCGCCCUGCAGAAGCCCCGGGCCCUGCGGCGGCGGCGGCGGCAUCCUCCUGGUCGCCUCCUCGCUUUCCUCCACCCGAGCUCCGCCGGCUGCUCCUUGGGAGGAAGGGGACUCGCUAGACCAGGCCGAGGCCCAGCCUCAGAAGUCAGCAUUUUCAAGACCUGGCAUCCGCAGCGUUUCUGACGCGGGGACUUCUCUCUUCGGCUCUGAGGUCUCCGCGCGCAGAACCCAUGGCAGCUUUUGGUCUUACGCGUGGCUGUGAGCUGGGCUCACGCUGCGUGGCGCAUCCACCCCUCGAUUGACGCGCGGAGAAGCAUUUUUCAUUUUUUCUUUCAGCUUGUAUCCUUAAAUCUUAAUCCCGGGCUUCUUAGCAAAAAUGCGUGUGCAUUCGUUUCUCCUUGUUUAUGGAGAGGUUUCCGGUGAAUGUUAGACAGCAACUAAAUAAUUAAAAGGUUUAGAGAGCGCUGUGAGCAGGAGAAGAUGCGGGCAGCCUGGCUGGCCCAGGAGAGACGAGUGGUCAGAGAAUGAAAGGAAAAUCGAUGCCUCUUAACUGGGCCGCCUAAUAACGGGAGACCAAGUGGGCUCAGGAGAAACGUGGCGGGGGGGGGGGGAGCUUUCUUUAAAAAAUUGGGGUUCUUUCUUUCUGUCCUAUAUAUGGAAAUUCAGCCCUGAUUUCAAACAAACAUCAGAUUUAAGAAGGUGAGGACUCCAAAGAAGAUCCAAACGCGAGACCAGGAAGAUUCACGUUUCCACUACUUCUUCCAAUACAUUUCACUAAUCUUUCUACAGGGAUAGUGUUUUAAAACACGACGACCCUCACACACCAAGGUGAAGUUGAAUAUUGUUGUUGUUCCUUCACCGCAUGAAAGGAAUCCUUCAGAACUUACUUUCAGGGACGGCUUCUUCUAUCUCGAAUUUUUGCAUUUGUAGGGAAUUUUAUGGGGUAGAGGAGCGAAGAGGGAACAAUGUCUCCAAUUCAAAUAAAACCCCAAAUUAAGCUCUCAGCCCCAUCGGUGGGAUAGCCUGCGGGGGAACCCACUCCCUCUCCUGGCAGCAUUGCCCUGGGGGCGAGCAGAGAGUGGAUUUGGAGUCUUCUUUUCCCGCCUGACCCCUGCUCGCCCGAGCAGCAUUUUCGGGCCAGCGGCUGCAGCCACCCGGGCGCCGCUAGGGGAUGCAGUGGCUCAAAG
rnacentral:lncRNA from 10 species